rnacentral:misc_RNA from 1 species
AACGCAAGUUGCGCUCUCGUGGCCACCCCCCGAGAGCACGUUCGCUUGAGUGCCGCCAUCAUCACUAAGGGUUUUAUACCUCCUCCUCGAUACUACACCGAGGGACGCGGGCCUCUUGCUGUUAUUUACCUAACGCAUGGCCUCAGAUGGUGCGCCGACCUCUAUCGAGAUUGCUUUCUGUGCAGCGCGUCGAUUGCAUGAGUGCGUUUAUUGCUCGCUCGGUGCUUAUGCAUUGAGUCGUGGUGGUUGCGUGAUUUUGCAAAUUGUUGCGCGUUUGUCAGAGUAGGGCGAUGACGGGUAGAAUUGCAUAUUUGACCGGCCUCAAGUCGAGCGACAGCACCCGCCGAAUUUAA